rnacentral:rRNA from 1 species
AACGCAGCGAAGGGCGAUACGUAAUGUGAAUUGCAGAAUUCAGUGAAUCAUCGAAUCUUUGAACGCACAUUGCACUCUCUGGUAUUCCGGAGAGUAUGCUUGUUCGAGUAUCUGUAAACAUCUCAAAUCUCUUGGAUUUCUUCCGAAAGAAUUGGAUUUGAGCGAUCCCGACUCUUGUAAAAAAAGAGGAGGGCCGCUUGAAAUGCAGGUGCAGCUGGACAUUCUUCUGAGCUAAAAGCAUAUUUAUUUAGUCCCGUGAAACGGAUUAUUACUUUUUGCUUCAGCUAACAUAAAGGUCGAAUGAACAAAACCAAGGCUGAUUGCAGGAAAACUCGUCUUGUUCACGCAAGACUUGUAAACUCGAUCUCAAAUCAAGCAAGACUACCCGCUGAACUUAA